GGUCCUUGGUGCUCUCUGAGCUUGCAGACAUUGUAUGGCCCAGAAGGCUGGUGUGGGAGCCCCGUCCUUAGUGGCUCUGGGCAGCUCACAGACAGGUGAGAAGGCGAAGCGCCAUGGAAACCGGCAAAGCAGAAGCCGAAAAGGAGGAGGAGGGUGUUUGCAGCCUCUGCAAUGAGCCUGGUCCGCUUUCCGUUAAGCGCUGAGCUCUGCCCUUUAUGGAACCCAUAAAGCUCCCCACAGACCAGCCGUUCUCUUGCGGGAUCUUGCAAAGCGCCCAGAUCUCCGCCGGUUGCUCUUUAACCGGCAGGCUGAUCCCGGGGGAUUCACCUUGCCGGCACGUUUCCUCCCUCAGGGCCCACAGAGGAUCAACCCGCCAGCAGCAGCCGCUUGAAAACAAAGAGGAGAUCGCAGGGCGGCUCCAGGAGACCUAGGAGCGGUUCUCGAAGGGAGUGUGGGGCAGCCCCCAGGCAGAGAGGAAAACUACCAAGGUGGGAAAGUGAGGAAGAGGAAGAAGGAGGAGGAGAAGCUGCUUGGGGCACCUGCCCAAUCUGCACAGGCCGUUUCCCGUCCGAGGACUUGCCCGCCCAUUCCUCCACCUGUGGGGAAGAGACAGAGGUGGCCUCUUUGUCCCCCGUGUGGGGGUCCUGGGUGGAGUGCCCCCUCUGCCAAGACCGCUUUCCUGCCUCCGAGGUGGAGGGCCAUGCCAGCGGCUGUGGGGAAGAACACGCUUAGUCCUCGGUCCCAGGCGGCUUCCAAAGAGGAGGGCGGAUGGGGCCCUUGGACCUCAGCCUCCGAGGCUUCCGGGCUCUCUUGGUGAGAUGUUAGAGAGAAGGGGCUGGGAGACCCUCCCUCAAGACCUCUGCAGAGAAGAGGACGUGACGGCGGUCGGAGUGGGCGAACCGAUCCCAGAUCUCCUUGGAGGCACACUCAAGAUGCUGAAACCGGACUCCGUGACCCACAAAUCCACAGCCAUUUGCCUCUGACUCCCCGAGCAGGUUGCAGUGACUAAGAGGGAUGGGCUGCAGGCUCCCUGGAUCCACUGGGACGUUUCAAACAUCCAGAUGUUACAGCUGUUUUAACCUGUCGGCCCAGCAGAUACCUUUCUCCUCCUCCUCCUCCUCCUCCUGCUGCAGGCGGAAGAGGGUGCGAUUUGACUCAAGAGCCUCUGGGUUUCUGUGGGGAGAGGAGGAAUGGGAAGGCUGGGAUGAAGGCCAGAAGAUGGGCCGGCAUGGAGGCCACGGGGUGGGGUCUCCGUGGGAGGGGUGCCUCAAGGCUGCGGACCUUCAGCUUAAGGCCACCCAGGUUUUGCGGAAUCCUCCUUGCCCUCUGAAUUGGGGGUGGCAGGAGGGAGGGAAAGGGUGGUGGCCUAGAGAGGGCUGAAAGCCCUAUGAAGCGGUAUAUAAGUCUACUGCUAUUGCUAUUGGCCCAACAGGCUGCAGAUUGCCCCAAAUAUCCCAGCUGGUAUCUGGCUGGAAGGUCACAAGGCAAACUUUCAAACGGAAAAGAAAGUUGCUUUCCUGGAACAAUGGCUCAACUCCAUGUGUGUGUGUGUGUGUGUGUGUGUAUUUGUGUGUGUGUACACACACAAAAACGUAUGCUUGAAAUACAAACUCCAAAAGGAGGAUUGUAAAUAUGUGUGUGUACAUAUAUAUAUAUAUAAUUUUAUUGAAGAAAUGUAUAAGUAUUUUUGUCUUUAAUGCACA